CCGUCUGUGACAGUGGACAGUGAAAAGCAGAAGCAGCACUCUCCCCGCAGUGGUUCUCACAUGCAUGCCGGGAGCUGAUCCGUGUUUUCGUGAUUUCUUCCAGCAGCGUGCAAAAUUUAAGGG